rnacentral:rRNA from 1 species
GACGAACGCUGGCGGCGUGCCUAAUACAUGCAAGUAGAACGCGGAAGGAGGAGCUUGCUUCUCUGGAUGAGUUGCGAACGGGUGAGUAACGCGUAGGUAACCUGCCUGGUAGCGGGGGAUAACUAUUGGAAACGAUAGCUAAUACGGCAUAAGAGUAGAUGUUGCAUGACAUUUGCGUAAAAGGUGAAAUUGCAUCAAUACCAGAUGGACAUGCGUUGUAUUAGCUAGUUGGUGGGGUAACGGCUGACCAAGGCGACGAUACAUAGACGACCUGAGAGGGUGAUCGGCCAAGCUGGGACGGAGAGACGGUCCAGACUCCUACGGGAGGGAGCAGUAGGGGAUUCUCGGCAAUGGACGGAAGUCUGACCGAGCAACGCCGGGUGAGUGAAGAAGGCUUUCGGGUCGUAAAGCUCUGUUGGACGAGAAGAACGAGUGUGAGAGUGGAAAGUUCACACUGUGACGGUAUCUGACCAGAAAGCGACGGCUAACUACGUG